UUCUGCUUCCUCUUUUCGUCUCGCCACGGCUCCUUCGUUCCUUCUCCCCCGCUCGUUGCUAUAGGGUUUCCUCUGCAUCCACCGUGGUGACCCUGCCGCCGGCUUGCCGCCGGAGCCGACCUCGUCCUAUAGCAGGGGAUUUCGAUUCCGUCUCUGAUGCGAGUGUCAAUUGCUGGCGUUGUUGUUGAUCCCACCUCCCACAUGGAAUUUGCACCGAACAUGACUUCAACGGUAGUACUUCAAAGUGACUCUCGCUACGGCCAAAGCCAAUCAGAUCUUGGAGAAUUUUUAUGGGCCAUCCGUGAGGAGACCUGCUUCUGCACCUGCAUCACUUCUCUGUCUCGGGUGCCUUUCCCUACUUUUUCUUGGAUGGAAAUGGGAAGCUUGUCUACUUCCUUUGUAGUACCUCUUAUAUUACUUUCUUUAUAUUGUUGCCUAUUGUCAUCUAUGAGGCUGUCAUGUCACUAUACCUCUAUGUUAUAGGUUGAGAUGGUCUGUAGUUGGUGAAAGGGUUUUGUUGCCAUCUGACAGCAAGUGCUACAGUGACUUAAGGACAAUUCAUACCUCUAAGAAGCAGAAGAGAAACUCUCUUACGUCCUCCUGUGAAUUUUGAGCUACUGAUGAUAAAAAUGUCAUUGCUGACAGUGUCUCCAGGCCAGUAAGAAAGAGCGAGAGGAGUUCACGUUUGGACAUCGCGACAGCUCAACCUUGCAAAAACUCCAUUACCACUAGAUAAACUCUCUGGGCAUAAUUAUAAAUUUGUUUAAGUUGAGUUGCAUCAAUAAGUCAUAGACCAAGUUUAAUCCGAUACUGAUGUUCCAUGAAUUCAAAGUUCCA